GUUUUAUUCGAAGACAUUUGAAGAAAUUGAAACUAUACAGCGAAGAUUAACAUAGCCCCGACACAAAGAUAACCAACAUAAAUCACGAUAUAUUUUAAAGAAAU
rnacentral:snRNA from 1 species